rnacentral:tRNA from 1 species
GUGGGUAUAGCUCAGUAGUAGAGCACGUGCUCAGCAGACAUGAGGUCCUGGGUUCAAUCCCCAACCUCCACU